rnacentral:rRNA from 1 species
AACGAACGCUGGCGGCAGGCCUAACACAUGCAAGUCGAACGCCCUAGCAAUAGGGAGUGGCAGACGGGUGAGUAACGCGUGGGAACCUUCCCUGUGGUGCGGAAUAACUCGCCGAAAGGCGUGCUAAUACCGCAUAAGCCCGCAAGGGGAAAGAUUUAUCGCCAUAGGAUGGGCCCGCGUAGGAUUAGCUAGUUGGUGAGGUAAUGGCUCACCAAGGCGACGAUCCUUAGCGGUUUGAGAGAAUGACCGGCCACACUGGGACUGAGACACGGCCCAGACUCCUACGGGAGGCAGCAGUGGGGAAUCUUGGACAAUGGGCGCAAGCCUGAUCCAGCCAUGCCGCGUGAGUGACGAAGGCCUUC